UUUUACUUAGUAGAAUCGAGCAAUUUGUUCAUCCAGGACUGGAGCUUGAAGAAAGGCUACUAGGAUGUCUUUGUAUCUAUUAUUAUACUUCCGGAAGAGGGAUGAAAAAGCUAGUCAACUUUUCAGAAGGAGUUAGAGAGUCACUAAGACGCCUUUCCAACAUGAGUUGGAUGGCAGAAGAAUUACUUAAGGUUGCUGACUAUAUCCAGCCAAACAAAUGGAGAAUAUCUUGUGUUCACACACAAAUUCUCGAAAUGAGUAGUAACCAUAGUGGAGCAGUAACAUCGCUCACCUACUAUAAUGGAGAGCUUUACAGUGGACAUGCAGAUGGUUCAAUCAAGGCAUGGGACAUUAAAGGACAAGAA
rnacentral:misc_RNA from 1 species